rnacentral:rRNA from 1 species
ACACGACUACAUUAGAUACCCGGGUAGUCCUAGCCGUAAACGAUACUCGCUAGGUGUCGGCCACGGUGCGACCGUUGUCGGUGCCGUAGGGAAGCCGUGAAGCGAGCCACCUGGGAAGUACGGCCGCAAGACUGAAACUUAAAGGAAUUAGCGGGGGAGCACAACAACGGGUGGAGCUUGCGGUUUAAUUGGAUUCAACGCCGGAAAUCUUACCGGGACCGACAGCAACAUGAAGGCCAAGCUGAAGACUUUGCCGGAUUAGCUG